rnacentral:rRNA from 1 species
UACGGGGGGAGCAAGCGUUGUUCGGAUUUACUGGGCGUAAAGGGCGCGUAGGCGGUCAGCACAAGUCAGUUGUGAAAUCUCCGGGCUUAACUCGGAAAGGUCAACUGAUACUGUGCGACUAGAGUGCAGAAGGGGCAACUGGAAUUCUCGGUGUAGCGGUGAAAUGCGUAGAUAUCGAGAGGAACACCUGCGGCGAAGGCGGGUUGCUGGGCUGACACUGACGCUGAUGCGCGAAAAGCCAGGGGAGCGAACGGG